rnacentral:rRNA from 1 species
UACGAAGGGGGCUAGCGUUGUUCGGAAUUACUGGGCGUAAAGCGUAUGCAGGCGGACUUUUAAGUCGGGGGUGAAAUCCCGAGGCUCAACCUCGGAACUGCCUUCGAUACUGGAAGUCUUGAGUCCGGGAGAGGUGAGUGGAACUCCGAGUGUAGAGGUGAAAUUCGUAGAUAUUCGGAAGAACACCAGUGGCGAAGGCGGCUCACUGGCCCGGUACUGACGCUGAGAUACGAAAAGCGUGGGGAGCAAACAGG